GCUCGUAGUCGGAUGUCUGGCUCGGACAGGCUGUCGGCUUCAGUCGGACGGCAGGCUCCGGGCUUUCUGCAUGAGGAUCCCGUUGAUCUUAAUUGCGCGGCGGGGGGCCACAUGCCUUUUACUUUAAAAAAAUUAAAGUGUUCAAAGCAGGCCUACGCUUGAAUACAUUAGCAUGGAAUAAUGGAAUAGGACUUUGGUCUUAUUUGUUGGUUAUGGGACCAAAGUAAUGAUUAACAGGGACAGUUGGGGCCGUUUAUAUUUCGUUGUCACAGGUGAAAUUCUUGGAUUUACGAAAGAUAAACUUGUGCGAAAGCAUUCGGCAAGGAUGUUUUCAUUGAUCAAGAACGAAAGUUAGGGGAUCGAAAACAAUCAGAUACCGUCGUAGUCUUAACCAUAAACUAUGCCGACUAGGGAUCAGUGGAUGUCAAUUUGCGACUCCCUUGGCACCUUGUGAGAAAUCAAAGUUUUUGGGUUCCGGGGGGAGUAUGGUCGCAAGGCUGAAACUUAAAGGAAUUGACGGAAGGGCACCACCAGGAGUGGAGCCUGCGGCUUAAUUUGACUCAACACGGGGAAACUUACCAGGUCCAGACAUAGUAAGGAUUGACAGAUUGAAAGCUCUUUCUU
rnacentral:rRNA from 1 species